rnacentral:tRNA from 1 species
GCCUUCCAAGCUCAGUUCGGCAGAGCGCCCGGUUGAAGCCCGGGAGGAUACUGGUUCGAUCCCAGCGGUUGGCACCA